rnacentral:rRNA from 1 species
UAAGGAAUAUUGGACAAUGGAGGCAACUCUGAUCCAGCCAUGCCGCGUGAAGGAAUAAGGCCCUAUGGGUUGUAAACUUCUUUUAGACGGGACAAAACCCCUUUACGUGUAAAGGGUUGAUGGUACUGUCAGAAUAAGCAUCGGCUAACUUCGUGCCAGCAGCCGCGGUAAUACGAAGGAUGCAAGCGUUAUCCGGAAUUAUUGGGUUUAAAGGGUGCGUAGGCGGACUAAUAAGUCAGUGGUGAAAGCCUGCAGCUUAACUGCAGAAUUGCCAUUGAUACUGUUAGUCUUGAGUACAGUUGAGGUAGGCGGAAUGUGUCAUGUAGCGGUGAAAUGCUUAGAUAUGACAUAGAACACCGAUUGCGAAGGCAGCUUGCUAAGCUGUAACUGACGCUGAGGCACGAAAGCGUGGGGAGCAAACA